rnacentral:rRNA from 1 species
GACGAACGCUGGCGGCGUGCCUAAUACAUGCAAGUCGAGCGAGCUUGCCUAGAUGAAUUUGGUGCUUGCACCAGAUGAAACUAGAUACAAGCAAGCGGCGGACGGGUGAGUAACACGUGGGUAACCUGCCCAAGAGACUGGGAUAACACCUGGAAACAGAUGCUAAUACCGGAUAACAACACUAGACGCAUGUCUAGAGUUUAAAAGAUGGUUCUGCUAUCACUCUUGGAUGGACCUGCGGUGCAUUAGCUAGUUGGUAAGGCAACGGCUUACCAAGGCAAUGAUGCAUAGCCGAGUUGAGAGACUGAUCAGCCACAUUGGGACUGAGACACGGCCCAAACUCCUACGGGAGGCAGCAGUAGGGAAUCUUCCACAAUGGACGCAAGUCUGAUGGAGCAACGCCGCGUGAGUGAAGAAGGGUUUCGGCUCGUAAAGCUCUGUUGGUAGUGAAGAAAGAUAGAGGUAGUAACUGGCCUUUAUUUGACGGUAAUUACUUAGAAAGUCACGGCUAACUACGUG